GAUGAAGAACGCAGCGAAAUGCGAUAAGUAAUGUGAAUUGCAGAAUUCAGUGAAUCAUCGAAUCUUUGAACGCAUCUUGCGCUCCUUGGUAUUCUGAGGAGCAUGCCUGUCUGAGUGUCAUUAAAUUCUCAACUACACUGACUUUGAAUUGGUGUGGCUUGGAUUUGGGGGGAAAAUUGUUGUGGGCUUUUUGUAUAGUCUGCUCCCCUGAAAUUGAUUAGCGGUACCUUUGUGGAACUGUCUACAGGUGUGAUAAUUAUCUACAUCUUAGACAUCUGCUGGAAUGCUGCUUUCUAAACCUUACUUGUAUUGACAAUCUUGACCUCAAAUCAGGUAGGACUACCCGCUGAACUUAAGCAUAUCAAUAAGCGGAGGA
rnacentral:misc_RNA from 1 species